CCUACGGGGGGCAGCAGUGAGGAAUAUUGGUCAAUGGGCGCGAGCCUGAACCAGCCAAGUAGCGUGAAGGAUGACUGCCCUACGGGUUGUAAACUUCUUUUAUAAAGGAAUAAAGUGAGGCACGUGUGCCUUUUUGUAUGUACUUUAUGAAUAAGGAUCGGCUAACUCCGUGCCAGCAGCCGCGGUAAUACGGAGGAUCCGAGCGUUAUCCGGAUUUAUUGGGUUUAAAGGGAGCGUAGGCGGCCUUUUAAGUCGGCGGUGAAAGUCUGUGGCUCAACCAGAGAAUUGCCGUUGAAACUGGGGGACUUGAGUAUGUUUGAGGCAGGCGGAAUGCGUGGUGUAGCGGUGAAAUGCUUAGAUAUCACGCAGAACCCCGAUGGCGAAGGCGGCCUGCCAGGCCAUAACUGACGCUGAUGCACGAAAGCGUGGGGAGCAAACAGGAUUAGAUACCCCAGUAGUC
rnacentral:rRNA from 1 species